rnacentral:misc_RNA from 1 species
UGCUUCAUUAAAUCCUUUGCAAUUUUUUCUUGAUGUUCCUUCAAAUUGAAUCAAAUAUGCAUCAAUGCUAGGAUGUUGUAUUUGUGCCAAUGUUUCCAUGAAUAAUAGAAUAGGCAUGCUUUUUUGCUUUAGAUUCCCCUUUUUGGGGGAUUAAUGCUCAAUCUGUUUUUCUUUCUGAUUAGUAAUCAACUCAAUAGUAAUUGAUGCACUAAUUCAAUCAGCACACCUGGGGAUAUAUUUUUUGAAUAGGUCCAGCAAAACUCUUCACCACCUUUUGUUUCUCCUUUUCCUUUCUAUUUAACAAUAUAUUUUGUUCCAAAUUUACUGCUUUUGAUUCAAUAUUGGAAG